rnacentral:rRNA from 1 species
AAGAACGUAGCGAAAUGCGAUACUUGGUGUGAAUUGCAGAAUCCCGCGAACCAUCGAGUCUUUGAACGCAAGUUGCGCCCGAGGCCCCCCGGCCGAGGGCACGCCUGCCUGGGCGUCACGCCUCGCGUCGCUCCGCGCGCCCCCCCGCCCCGGGCCGGCGCGCGGACGCGGACACUGGCCCU